UAUAAUGUUUUGACUCUUCGUCUUAUUUAAAAUUUUUUUAGGAUUAAUAUUUUAUUGUUACUAGAUGGUAAAACAUUAAUAUUACAUUACGUGUGACUAAUUUUUUAAGUUUUUGUAUAAUUUUUUAAAUAAGACGAAUAGUCAAACUUUAGACACUGAAAUCGA
rnacentral:pre_miRNA from 1 species